CAGUCGCCACGGUAAAACGUAGGUGGCAAGCGUUGUCCGGAAUUAUUGGGCGUAAAGGGCUCGCAGGCGGUUUCUUAAGUCUGAUGUGAAAGCCCCCGGCUCAACCGGGGAGGGUCAUUGGAAACUGGGAAACUUGAGUGCAGAAGAGGAGAGUGGAAUUCCACGUGUAGCGGUGAAAUGCGUAGAGAUGUGGAGGAACACCAGUGGCGAAGGCGACUCUCUGGUCUGUAACUGACGCUGAGGAGCGAAAGCGUGGGGAGCGAACAGGAUUAGAUACCCGCGUAGUCCCUGUCUCUUAUAC
rnacentral:rRNA from 1 species